CUUUCAUGUUCUUGACAAACAUAUUGUCUAUGUAGACUUUUAUGCUAUAGCCAAUCUGAUAUUUGAACAUCUUAUUAAUGAGGCAUAGAUAUGUUGCACCUACAUUCUUUAAAAUGAAAGACAUCAUUUUAUAAUAAUACAAAGCUUUAUCGAUUAUGAAUACGGUCUAUUCCUUGUCCUCAGUUGUCAGUCAAAUCUGAUUGUGCCUUAAGAAGGCAUCCAUGAAGCU
rnacentral:lncRNA from 1 species